CGCAGGCAAAAACAGUCUGAUGUUAAUCGUUUGUACGGCUGGUUGUUGUUUACGUUUUGUACGCAGCGCCGUGGAGAACUUGAUAAAAACGGAACAGCUGGUGCUGAAGAACUCGAUCGGUAAUCAAAAGAGAUUUUGCCGGCAACCGGCCGACAAUAUUGUUCCGCCGAGGAUGCGACCAAGCAAACAAACGAUUGGCAUCAAGCAAUCUGAAUAAUCAGAUAGGUUUGGACGAUUUUGGCAGUAUGAUCAACUAAACAGAAUCGACAUCGCCGCUAAAGUUUAAAUAUUAUUAUUGUGAACCAUCCGUUCAAAAAGUGAACAAUACUGUAAAAAAUAAGUAGGUAAAAAAUGUAAGAAAAACUUUUAAAAACCAUUUCAAAACUAUUUCUAAAGUAGUAAAUUUGUAUGAUAAACUUCAAUUUACCAUUUAAAAACUAUUACUCAAAUAGUGAAACUGCGAAAAAAUGUAGGAUAAACCUUAAAUAACCAUAUGGAAACUAUUUCCAAAAUAGUAGCCGUAGGUAAAAAUAGCAAGAAAAAUCUUAAAAAACCAUUU